rnacentral:lncRNA from 1 species
CUUUGAUAUGCCGAAUCUAACUGUGUAUGUAGAUUCUUAAUUUUUGGUCCGGUUUUCAAAUUGGUCUACAUUUAGGUCCAAAGGGUCCAAAAUUAAACUUGGUUUGAUUUUAACAAAAAUUGAAUCCUUGGGGUUCUUUAGUUUGCUGAAUCUAAAAAUGUACUUAGAUUUUUGAUUAUUGGCCCAGUUUCUAGCUGGUCCAAAUCAGGGCCCAAAAUUAAACAUUGUUUGAUUUCAUCAAAAAUUGAAUAAUUGAGGUUCUUUGAUAUGCC